GCUCAACGUGCAAUGGAACGGUUUCUCUCAAAGUUAGAAUUAAAAAUGAGACUGAGAUGAAUGUAAGAUUGCCGGUGUAGGCUGGAUGAGGAUCGCGGGAAACUGGGAUGUCUGGUGCGAACUUGGGGAGGCCUAUGUCCUGCAGUGGACUGCAAUAGGCUGAAGUGAAUGAGUGUGUAUCUGAAGAAACAAUACUUAAUAAUUUCAAAAAUAACCUCCCAGAAGAUCACAGCAAUUGCAGCAAAAUAAUACUGAUUUCAAGCAGUGUUGUAUUCCAAUUGGCGAGUAAGGCCUGCAGAGCUCCUGGGGGCGGGGGAGAUUGUGUAUAGGGACAGCAACACGCUUGCGAUGCUUCUGGUGUUGCAGACGUCUAUAAGCUUCGGUAAUCGCUUACAAUCAGAUGAGCCGUACGCUAAAACGCUUGUUUGCCGACUUCGUUAUAUACCUAUUUUAAAAAAAUACACGAUAGUUAAAACUACGUUUCGUGCCGUUUUUUUUAUUGUAUUACACAAAAGAAUACGACGAUUAAAUAAAUUUUAUUUAUGCGUGAUUAUGGUUAUUUAAACUUCUACUAAUACUGUUUAUUUUAUCUCGAACUAAUGAUUUAAAAAUAACGAUUUCUGAACGUAUGUCCC
rnacentral:misc_RNA from 1 species